AUGGUCUUAGCUUGCUAAGGCUGAUGGCGACCGGCGCACGGGUGAGUAACACGUAUCCCACCUGCCGUCUACUCUUGGCCAGCCUUCUGAAAGGAAGAUUAAUCCAGGAUGGCAUCAUGAGUUCACAUGUCCGCAUGAUUAAAGGUAUUUUCCGGUAGACGAUGGGGAUGCGUUCCAUUAGAUAGUAGGCGGGGUAACGGCCCACCUAGUCAACGAUGGAUAGGGGUUCUGAGAGGAAGGUCCCCCACAUUGGAACUGAGACACGGUCCAAACUCCUACGGGAGGCAGCAGUGAGGAAUAUUGGUCAAUGGGCGAUGGCCUGAACCAGCCAAGUAGCGUGAAGGAUGACUGCCCUAUGGGUUGUAAACUUCUUUUAUAAAGGAAUAAAGUCGGGUAUGCAUACCCGUUUGCAUGUACUUUAUGAAUAAGGAUCGGCUAACUCCGUGCCAGCAGCCGCGGUAAUACGGAGGAUCCGAGCGUUAUCCGGAUUUAUUGGGUUUAAAGGGAGCGUAGAUGGAUGUUUAAGUCAGUUGUGAAAGUUUGCGGCUCAACCGUAAAAUUGCAGUUGAUACUGGAUGUCUUGAGUGCAGUUGAGGCAGGCGGAAUUCGUGGUGUAGCGGUGAAAUGCUUAGAUAUCACGAAGAACUCCGAUUG
rnacentral:rRNA from 1 species